UGGGGAAUUUUGGACAAUGGGCGAAAGCCUGAUCCAGCAAUGCCGCGUGUGUGAAGAAGGCCUUCGGGUUGUAAAGCACUUUUGUCCGGAAAGAAAUCCUUGGCUCUAAUACAGUCGGGGGAUGACGGUACCGGAAGAAUAAGCACCGGCUAACUACGUGCCAGCAGCCGCGGUAAUACGUAGGGUGCAAGCGUUAAUCGGAAUUACUGGGCGUAAAGCGUGCGCAGGCGGUUUGCUAAGACCGAUGUGAAAUCCCCGGGCUCAACCUGGGAACUGCAUUGGUGACUGGCAGGCUAGAGUAUGGCAGGAGGGGGGUAGAAUUCCACGUNUAGCAGUGAAAUGCGUAGAGAUGUGGAGGAAUACCGAUGGCGAAGGCAGCCCCCUGGGCAAUACUGACGCUCAUGCACGAAAAGCGUGGGGAGCAAACAGGAUUAGAUACCCUGGUAGUCCACGCCCUAAAACGAUGUCAACUAGUUGUUGGGGACUUCAUUUCCUUAGUAACGUAGCUAACGCGUGAAGUUGACCGCCUGGGGAGUACGGUCGCAAGAUUAAAACUCAAAGGAAUUGACGGGGUCAUAGCUG
rnacentral:rRNA from 1 species